UACGUAGGGUGCGAGCGUUAAUCGGAAUUACUGGGCGUAAAGCGCGUGUAGGCGGGUCUUUAAGUCAGGGGUGAAAUGCCAGGGCUCAACCUUGGAACUGCCUUUGAUACUGGAGACCUUGAGUCCGGGAGAGGUGAGUGGAAUUGCGAGUGUAGAGGUGAAAUUCGUAGAUAUUCGCAAGAACACCAGUGGCGAAGGCGGCUCACUGGCCCGGAACUGACGCUGAGACGCGAAAGCGUGGGGAGCAAACAGG
rnacentral:rRNA from 1 species